ensembl:lncRNA
CCUUCACGGAAACACAGCUUGGAACAAAGUGGAGGCUCCGUUUCUUGACACUGCAUCGAGUCCAAUGAGCUAUAGAUGCUGAAUCCAAAGUACCACUGAACCGCUUUAAAAAGUGUCACUUGAUGUUGUAAACAAAUCUUAAUGUGUACCAAAAUUAUUUAUAUUCCUUCAACAAGGCCUUAUUUGUCACGUGCAAUUUCAGAGUUGCUACAUAUCAUAUCUCGAGUUUCCCUUGACAUGUCUGAGAGCAAAAAUGAGUGACAAAAUUAAACAAAAUUCGAACCGACAUAAAAGAAUCAUCGUAAAAAUCUGAAUGUCUCUCGUCACUAGUGCAAAAGAUUUCUUUGUGUGAAGUCGCAGUGAGCAGGUGAGUAGGAGGCGUGACUUGAUUGACAGCUGCAUUUCCAAAUGAUCGAUUGUACUCUUAUGCGUUCAGUCAGGGAUCCCUACGACAACUAUUUUUUUUUUCUGGUCGACACGUUGCUAAAGGGAAAUCAGAUAUCAGAAGUUAAAAGUGCAAUUACGUCUGUUGAGAAGUCAUGAUUGCUGGAACUUCAUCAUGAAUCAGUUAAUCCUCAAAAUCCUCAGCUAAGGUCCGUACAUUUCUACCUUUGAUUCGCUGUAUCUAAGUAGGCUGCUGGGAGGGUUUUCAUAUAUAGCCUACGCUUGACACCUUCAAACUGCAAAUUCAGCGACUUUAACUUUAUGCAAACAACAAUGACUGCAAGUUUCACACAGGAUAAACAACUUCUGUAUCACAUGCCGUGACUGUAGGCUAUUCAACAGGAAACCGGAGAUAGUGAGAGAAGACAGAACAAAAACAUACUCUCUCUAAAUAUUCCAAAAUACUCCAAACAUAUGUUCACGUAAUUGUAUUUUGAAUAUUAUAAGUUCAUUUAAAAAGAGGAAAAUCAAACUACAAAAAAAUACAUAACAUAAAACGUGUAACACAUUAAUUUGUUAAUAAAAUUAAGUUAAUAAAAAAAUUAAACAAUUAAAAAUAACCCAAAUAGCCUAUAUAAUAGGCUAAACAGAGCUGUCCUUUAAGUUUUAUCUUCUGUGUACAAACUGAGCACUUCCUUUAGAUUUUAUGAAAACAAAAUUAGCAUAAGAAAACAGAGACAUAUUGGAGCAAUGGCUACACGUUUCAUAACUUCAAUAAGUCUUGUUAUGGUUAAAAACCUACUAUUUGACGGGAUAAAAUUAACUUAUAUUAACGGGUAUGAAUGUUCGUUGCGGCCGAAGCCAACGUUUCAAGAGGCCCAAUACAAGGCCUACAACACAAAAGCGCUUAGCUUUGAAUGAUUUGCUGUUAAAUAGGCCGCUUAGACAAGAAAAAUAAUAAAUAAUCGGAGGACAUUCCUAUCACGUCAGACUGUCUCAAAUAGAAGAGGCAGAAGGAAAACUUCUGUUGUCAGUUUCCAUUGAAUCCACGUAGCCUAUAGCAGCUUGCAAUCUGGUGCACACGAAGGUAUGGGCACAGCCUUAUUUAAAAGCCGCAAGCAUAUAUGGCUUAAUUAUUUCAAGGUUUCUUCCGUCUCUUGUGCAUGGCGGUGGCUGAAAGCGCGAUGCAACUGAUAUUUGUUUGUUCUAAUUUUGGGGUAAAAGAGGCAAGUCGGAGAGGAUACUUUUGUCAAUUUGAAGAAAAUAACUAUGACAAACCAUCCCCUACCUUAGAGAAUUUUAAAAUUAUUAAAUUAUAUUUAAGUUGAAAAAUGAAUUUCCUGCAAACCGCUUCUGAAUCAAUACAAAUUCAAAUAGGCCCGAAGUGAUCUGGCAUUCUGAUUUGGUAGGCUAAUCGUGAAAUGGACAAAGCUGUGGGAUGGAGACAAUGCAUAACCAAUCUGCCUCAAUUGAAAAGUAAUCUGACUGACACCAGAAGAGGAAACAAUAAACAAAGAAUGAGCUGCCAUAUGUUUAACAGCUGUUCUUUAAUGUGCACAUUAUAUGCACAAAUUAGACAGCAGGGGGCGAUAAUAAGUGAAUGCAUAAUUACCGAUGGAAAUCAAACUUUCUGGUCCAAGUUUCUCGAUAACGAUUAGUGUUCCCUAUACCUUCCUUUACGAGCGAUAGUUCCUUUGCUGGAGACAUGGAGCGUUCACCCGUGGUGAAGCCCUGUGCUGAAUGAUCCUGCCAAUGAGAAUGAAGCGAUAAAGAUGACCGCAAUGCCGCAGGACCUUGCGGAGCGUUGUUGGGUAUGGAUGCGCAGGAAGAGUGGGUUGUAGAAUGAAAAUACAAUGGGAAGAUGUCUUGACGAAGCAACACAUCGGCAAUAUAUGGCCAGUUCUCAUGGACGUUGUCUGAAACAAUCAAAGUGGUCGUACAAGCAAAUCAGCGCACUUUGUUGAUUUAAAUAAAGCCAUAAAAUCCCGACAUAAAAG